rnacentral:antisense_RNA from 1 species
CAUUUCCAAAUUCACAAGUGCUCUUGGCUGGCUUUUCAUGAAUGAUGCAAUUUCUAGUUGAGGUAUGCUGGUCUUUUUACAGCUGGCGCAUUCCUAUCAGAGCCUUUUCCAGGAGUUGUACUGAUGAUCUAUAAAAGCUGGGUAAGAACUACAUUUUAAAAAACUGCAGUCAGUGAAAGGCAUAAAUGAUAUCCCUGUACUAUAAUGAAGGGUAAAUACAGUAAAAUUUAACUUGUGAAACAAGUUAGUUUGGCAGUGCAGGUUGUGAUAAACAGAGACAGGCUUAAAAUGCUUAAAUAAAGGAACACUUUUAAUUAUAUAGGAAAAUUUUUAUUUCAUAAAUAUAACUUCAUAAACUUUAAAAAAUUAUGGAGAGCUGUACAAUAAUAUGCUACAUUUACUGACAAUGCAGAGAAUUUUUGAAGGAUUACAUUAGACAGCCACAGUGUCUCAGGUCCAAAAUUUUAAACUAAGUAAGUAUUGCUACAAUAUUUCCAGAUACUCAUUCCUCAUAAAAAUCUAAAUUACCAUUAUUACAAACAUAUUAGUUAUGAUCUAUUUUUUAUAGGAACAACAUUCGAGUUAUUUCACAUAAAACAGCACUUCAGUAAUGUUUUAUGAAAAUAGAUAACUCAUUUCAAGAUGAUAGAAAUAAAAUGUCUAUAAGUGGGGACCAAAAUUAAUAAAACAUGUUUGACAUAA